GCUUCUUUAUUAAAAUAUAUUUUGGUUAUUUUCCUUGUUGAACACUCUUUGUGUGACAAAAAUUUAAAAUAGUUGUUUGAAAACUUUGCCCAUUAAUUUUUUAUAUAGUGGAUUACUUAAACAUUAGUCAUCUGAUUAAUUUAUUUGUUGUUACCCAUUAUUGUUUCUUAUCCCGAUAUGUGAACUACCAUUUGAUUGAAGCUUUUUCUUUAAACCUUUCUAAAUCUUUAUAUUCGUAUUAUGUAAUGCCCAUUUAAAACAAAUCAGACCUUUAGGAUCAGGCCUGCUCAAAGUUUAUCAUCUUUUAUUGCAGUAAGCAAUAACUCUGUUUUUUGUUGCAGUGAAGUUUAAAACUUUUUUGUAUGUUUUGUUUAUGCAACUAUUCGUACAACUUUUUUAUAAUCUAUUAGAGCUAAACGUGUGACAGUUCUGGAAAAGAAUCUUGAGAAAUUAGGUGUGGAGAAACUUUUUUUUUUUUUGUCACCGUGGAGAAACUUACUAAAGAUGUUUAGAGUAUGCAAUGAAAUGUUUUAGAAGCCAAAUGUGAAUAUAUCCAUUUGUUUUAUAAAAAAAACCUUUAUAGAUCCAUUACUUGUUCUUUCUUUUACACGCAUUUACUUUUGUUGUUGCCUGCCCUGUGUGAUCUGGAAAACUCUUAUUUGCCGUGUAAAGAAAAUCUGCAACCAUAUACUCGACGGUUUAAAGUAACUAAGGACCAAAAAUUUUGGUGAAGUUACUGUAAAUAGUUUCAAGGAGGCUAUAUUUUAAGGUAAGAGAUCACGGCGACACAGUUUGCCUUGUUACUUGUUAGAUAUGUAUGGAAUAAUGAGUGAUUCAACCCGAGGUAAUGUUUUCUUUCUCACCGAAUGUUUGUUUUGUUAGACAUAAAUUUUUCAAAUCUGUAUGUAACUAUGUAUAGAAACUGAAGGCUCUACGAUAUCAAUUAACUGAACAAAAUUUAUAAAUAAAAUCCCAAUGUAUAUCUACCAAAGUCACCAAUCAUGUCAUUGCAACUCAUUAGUAAUAAGUAGGUGAUACAUAUCGUUCACCACUGUUGUUGACAUUUUUAACGUGUAGACAUAGAUUAUGAUGCAGACAGAUGAAAAAAUGCAGGAAAUGAAACACUAACCUCUGCAUCAUCGUGUUAUACUCUAGCUUUCUCUGUUGUUUGGAGGCCUUCGAAACUGAGCAACAUCCUCAUGAGAAGUUAUCUAGUCAUGUCAGACUCCUCCACAUGAACUUUCACCCCUUAAUGUACAGAAACUUUGAAAGCAUGAACCUAAUUUUGUAAAAAAAAAAAUCAACAUAAACACAAUCCUUCAUUCCCUUUUCUGCACCAAAAAAAAAAUUCCAGCUCUUAUAAACUCACCCUGUCUGAGAGCCUAUCAACCACCCUUGUACCAUUGAACUGCAACGAUUGCCUGUUCUAUCUCUUGUCUCACUCUCCGUCGCUUGUUCCAUGGCUGUCCAUCUCGCUCUCUCCGUCACUUGCUCCAUCAGCUCAACGCCGCUUGUUCCAUCGCUCUCCGCCCUUGCUCUGUCGCUCUUCGCCACUUGCUUCCUUUCUCUCCUCCACUUACUCCGUCUCCGCUUGCUCCGUCGCCCUCCAUCUCGCUCUAGUGACAUGCCACGUUAAAGACGACUGUGAGAAAAAUAUCAGUGAAGAACAAUUGCAAGAUCUGAGAAAAGGGCUUACUACGAUUUUGUUUUAAGAACGAUCUUGAUUCUGGGUAGAUGAACAGAUGAAGAACUUUGACGGCAAAAAGUGUAGACGGAAGCGUCCUUUUUUUCAGGUAAGAUUUUCUGUCUACAAAUGGGUCAAAGCCCAUCAUAAGAGAAAUAAAUGAAACGGUGCGUUUGCUUCUCUGGACAGAUGGCAGCUUCUGAAUAAACGACUUUGUGACCUGUAAUCCUAUGUGGCAUCACAGGAGAGAAGCAACAUCUUUUUAUAUAAUUAGAUACCGAAAAAAUGAACUACUCUGCCACAAGAGAUGUGACCUUACAUUACACAAGCUGGAUCAUUCUUCUGUUUUAUCGGAGUAGACUUUGAAACUCCUAGACCAUGCUGUUUCAGAAGAAGUAUAUUUAUAUAUAUAUAUAUAUAUACAUAUAUAUACACACACACUUUUAGAACUGAAGCAACAAUGAAUAUGAUUCUGAUUCCUGAAUGUUCUUUUGUCAAUCAAUAUACAAUCACAAGUUUACUACUUACAAUUGGGCUUUUAUCCCAUUUCUAUGAAGACUUCUUGCAUAUUCUCUCAUAUACUUAAGAAGAAGUUGCUUUCUUUGGCUGUCUUCACCAUCUUCCUUGGGAUCAGCUGUACAGACACCAAAGGGUCAAGCUUGAUCAGAAUUCAGAGUGUUGAUAUUUUAGGAGAGUGAGGAAAGAUUUAUGGAGCAAACCUGCAAAACACAAACAAGCAAGCAAAUAAACAAGGAAACUAUUUUAGAGAACCAUGAAAAUACGAGAGGGGAAAUUGUCUAUUGCAAGAUUGAUUAGGAAUGACUUAAGUGAUAUUCUUUUUUUUUUUUUUUUUUGAUCAAGACUUAAGUGAUAUCAUAAGUGUAAAAAGACAAAUAAAACAUCACGAUCUCUAACAAUGAAAUCAAUGACAGGACGUAUGUUCUAUUUGUUUACACAAUAUGAAUUUACACCAAAGUGUCCCGUUAUCAAUCCAGUAAUAUAUAAUCUCCCCAAAAGAAAAAAAAAUUAAAAACGUUACAAGAAAAAGAGACAACGCAAAGAGACUAAUGAAAAUGAUUUUUUUGAUUAUAUACCACAGGAAAUCACUCACGGCUGAGAAACCGUAUCUAGACUAUGUUCGUGCCGUGAGAAACCGUAUCUAGACUAUGUUCGUGUCUCUCGGACGAUCAAACCAUGAUUGUACGUGCUUGAGAGUUGAGACACCGUGAAUAUGUUCACCUGCAAAGCGAAACAUCAAGAAGAGAAGAAAAACAAAAAUAUACUAUAAAAUAGGCACAAA